rnacentral:rRNA from 1 species
UCAAUAUAAAUUGAUUAAUAAUUAUUUAUUAAUUUUGUUGUUUUUUUAUUUAAAUUAUUAAAAAUAUUUAUUUAGUUGAUAGUUUUAGUAUUUUAUGAAGAAAAAAUAAUUAUAAUUAUAGUUUAUUAGUAUUGUAAAAUAAAAUUGAAAUAUUUUGAAAAAUAUUUAAUUUAAAAGAAAAUUUGAUUUAUUGUACCUUGUGUAUCAGGGUUUAUUAAAUAAAAAAUAUUUAAUUUAUUUUUCUCGAUUUUAAAAGAGUUAAUAAGUUAUAAAAGUUAAUGUGGUAAAAUUAUUUUUAAUAACUUAUUAGAAAUGAAAUGUUAUUCGUUUUUAAAGGUAUCUAGUUUUUUUAGAAAUAAAUUUAAUUUAUAAAUUUUAGUUUAUUUAAUUAAUUAAUUAAUUAAAUUAUAUUAAAAUUUAAAUAUUUUAUGGGAUAAGCUAUAAAAUAAAUUUUUAUAAAUAAUAAAUAAUGUAAUUAAAAUGUAUAUUUAAAAUUAGUAAUCAUUUUUAAGUUUAUUAUAAAUUAUUAUUGAUAAUAAAUUAUUUAUUAAAUUUUAAUUUUUUAUAAAAAUAUUUAUUUUAAUUUUAAAAAUAAAGUAAUAAUGAUAAAAUUAGUAUAUUAUUUUUGUAUAAGUAUAUAUUUAUUGAUAAGUUUUUAAAAAGAAUUCGGCAAAAUUGUAUAUUCGCCUGUUUAACAAAAACAUGUCUUUUAGAAUUUAAUUUAAAGUCUAACCUGCCCACUGAGGAUUUAAAUGGCCGCAGUAUUUUAACUGUGCAAAGGUAGCAUAAUCAUUAGUCUUUUAAUUGAAGGCUGGUAUGAAUGGUUGGACGAAAUAUAAACUGUUUCUUAAAAAAUUGUUAUAGAAUUUUAUUUUUUAGUAAAAAAGCUGAAAUUUUAUUAAAAGACGAGAAGACCCUAUAAAUCUUUAUAUUUUAUUAUUUUUUAAUUAUUUAGAUGAAUUUCAUUAUUAAGUAAUAAAAUAUUUUGUUGGGGUGAUGGUAAAAUUUAUAAAACUUUUAUUUUAUUAAAGUCAUUAAUUUAUGAAUUAUUGAUCCAUUAAUAGUGAUUAAAAAUUUAAGAUACUUUAGGGAUAACAGCGUAAUUUUUUUAGAGAGUUCAUAUCGAUAAAAAAGAUUGCGACCUCGAUGUUGGAUUAAGAGAUAAUUUUAGGUGUAGCCGCUUAAAUUUUAAGUCUGUUCGACUUU